rnacentral:rRNA from 1 species
UACGUAGGGUGCAAGCGUUAAUCGGAAUUACUGGGCGUAAAGCGUGCGCAGGCGGUUUUGUAAGUUUGUCGUGAAAUCCCCGGGCUCAACCUGGGAAUUGCAUUGGAGACUGCAAGGCUUGAAUCUGGCAGAGGGGGGUAGAAUUCCACGUGUAGCAGUGAAAUGCGUAGAGAUGUGGAGGAACACCGAUGGCGAAGGCAGCCCCCUGGGUCAAGAUUGACGCUCAUGCACGAAAGCGUGGGGAGCAAACAGG